GGGGAAUAAAAUAAAAAUUAAGAAAAGUUCUGUUCACCUCCUAGUGUGAUAAAGUUACCAUUUGCCAGACCUUGUUAUAAUAGGCAGCGUAAGUCCUAAUUGUAAACGGAUAAUGGUUUUUUGUUUGUUUAUGAGGAAGAUUGGCUCUGAACUAACAUCUGUUGCCUACCUUCCUCUUUCUGCUUGAGGAAGGUUGUCCCAGGGCUAACAUCCGUGCCAGUCUUCCUCUAUUUUGUUUGUGGGACACUGCCACAGUAUGGUUUGAUGCGCAGAGCACAGGUCUGUGCCUUGGAUCCGUACUCACGAAUCCCGGACCACCAAAGUUGAGCGUUCAAACUUAACCACUACAUCACCUGACCAGCCCUGUAAACAGAUAAUGUUUAAGAAGUGUGGCUUUAAUAAACCAAGCUGUGUUAUAUUUUAAUAUAAAUGAUUGUCUGUAUUAGAAGAAGAAUUGCAUUUUAUGGAUUAUUUUGCCUUUGACAUAUCCUUUCAUGCAGUUUUCUUUUGUCCUAGGUUGUGCCGUCACAGUCUUCAUUGCUUUGGUGGAUCUGUGUCCACUUGUGACAAGAGCAGUUGUUUAAGAAAGAUGAGCAUUGAGUGUCAGUAUCAGAAGACAAGAGGAGAGCUCUACAGUCUGGAUUGCCGAUGGUCUAAAGUCAAGUUGGUUUCGUGGAUUCCAUAUGAGCUGCAGGUGACUGUAACACAGAUUGAUGAAAGAUUCUGCAGGACGACAAAGGUUAAAGAUGCGGACCCGGAGCUGGAAGCCAGUGCUGACACUGAUGGAGUGCAGCGCAAUGAGAAUGCCCACAUUACUGUCCGCUCCUCUGAUAACCAAUGUAAUAUGAAAACUGACUACAGAAGAAAGGAACAAAUUAAAUCCAUUAAUCAAGCAUAUCUCUGCUAAACAGUUGUUCUAAAGAGAUGAACAAAUGAAAAAUUUACUGUUUGUUUUCAUGCUCACAAGGAUUGGGGAAGAAAAUUAAUUAUAAGUUACUGGACACACUAUUAGUUAAGUUUUUCUUGAGGAAACUAUUUAUUGCUUUGUCAAAGGACAAAUGAACCUCAUUAGGGAGAUUAGUUUCAGCGGGUAGUUUUGCAUUAGGACAAACUAAUAAUACACACUUGGAAAGAUACCCUAAGUAAAAUUACGAAAAUUGAAAAUCCAUUUUUUACUUCUUAAUUUACGAACUGUUCGAAAAUGACUGCUUUAUUACCUAUCAUGAAACCAGAAGGAAAUCGGAUGUAGCUUGACUUUUCACCCAAGUGCCUGAAGGAGAACUAUUUCAGCAGGGGCUCUGUGAGUGUUGCGAUGAUGAACUUAUGUAUUCAGAGGUUAUAACUUGGCCAUGGCAUUUUACUCUUAUGUUGAAGCAUGUCAAGCAGAACGUCACGCCAAAAGCAAUUUUUGAUAAGCUCCUUUGAAAUCCUUUUCUUUUCAAAAUGUUUUAAGUGCCCUGGACAAAUAGCAAGCUGAUGUCUGGUAUUCUGAAUUUCCCCUUCAAUCCACACAGUGCAAGGCAGGAAAAAGAAAAUACUACUCUGCUAUCAAUCCUGCCUGGGCAGUGGACUGAGGCUCCUGAGCCGGCCACAGCAUGUGCAGCUCAGCUUCAAUGUUCAUUUAAUCCCUGGCCUUUCUGUCGAGGCUGCUAACAAGGGGGCCAAUUACUGAGCUGUGUGAGGGGGUGCUCAGCUGCAGACACCUGUCUUCCAAAACCUAGAGAGAAACCAGACUCAUUCCACAGAGCGUAUAAAUCAACUGUGAAAUAAUAAUGACUUUUGGAUUCAACUGACCUGGGCUGGAUUCAGGCUGCUGACCCAGAAAGGAAAGGCUUCACAUAUCCCGUUACCGAUCCUGUGAGCUUUGAAGACAUCCUCAUCCUGUUCUGACUUGCUCAGUUAUAAGA
rnacentral:lncRNA from 1 species